rnacentral:rRNA from 1 species
UCGCAAUGCCCGAAAGGGUGACGAAGCGACGCCGCGUGUGGGAAGAAGGCCUUCGGGUUGUAAACCACUGUCGGGAGUUAAGAAAUGUAAGGGUGCUAAUAGUAUCCUUACUUGACUAAGGCUCCGGAGGAAGCCACGGCUAACUCUGUGCCAGCAGCCGCGGUAAUACAGAGGCGGCAAGCGUUGUUCGGAAUUAUUGGGCGUAAAGAGCACGUAGGCGGCCUUGUAAGUCAGUUGUGAAAGCCUUCUGCUUAACGGAAGAACAGCAGCUGAUACUGCAAGGCUAGAGUGCGGAAGGGGAGAGUGGAACUUCUGGUGGAGCGGUGAAAUGCGUAGAUAUCAGAAGGAACACCGGCGGCGAAGGCGACUCUCUGGUCCGUAACUGACGCUGAGUGUGCGAAAGCUAGGGGAGCAAACGGGAUUAGAUACCCCGGUAGUCCUAGCCGUAAACGAUGGGCACUAA